UCUCGGCUUACGCCGGCAGUCUCCUUAGAGUUCCCGACAUUACUCGCUGGCAACUAAGGACAAGGGUUGCGCUCGUUGCGGGACUUAACCCAACAUCUCACGACACGAGCUGACGACAGCCAUGCAGCACCUGUGUUACGGCUCCCUUUCGGGCACGCCCCCAUCUCUGAGGGCUUCCGUACAUGUCAAGGGUAGGUAAGGUUAUUCGCGUUGCAUCGAAUUAAUCCACAUCAUCCACCGCUUGUGCGGGUCCCCGUCAAUUCCUUUGAGUUUUAAUCUUGCGACCGUACUCCCCAGGCGGUCAACUUCACGCGUUAGCUGCGGUACUGAGAAAUCGCUUCCCCAACACCUAGUUGACAUCGUUUAGGGCGUGGACUAC
rnacentral:misc_RNA from 1 species